rnacentral:rRNA from 1 species
UACGUAGGGGGCAAGCGUUGUCCGGAAUCAUUGGGCGUAAAGAGCGUGUAGGCGGCCCGAUAAGUCCGCUGUGAAAGUCCAGGGCUCAACCCUGGAAUGCCGGUGGAUACUGUCGGGCUCGAAUCCGGAAGAGGUGAGUGGAAUUCCUGGUGUAGCGGUGAAAUGCGCAGAUAUCAGGAGGAACACCAGUAGCGAAGGCGGCACUCUGGGCCGGUACUGACGCUGAGGAGCGAAAGCGUGGGGAGCGAACAGG